CAUCACUUCCGAUUCUGAUGACGUAGGUCGUCCUCCUCGGUUCCUGUUUAAGGUUCCUCCAUUCAAAGAGAUAACUGUCCGUAAAAAGAUAACGCGUUAGUAAUUUAUUUUGUAGGUCGCAUAAACCGUAACUGGUGAAGAAAGCUUUCAUUAUAGACCGUUAUGGAGACUACCGGAAACUCUCACAAGAAACCGAAGCUGAGCAACGCGUCAAGCGAGAAUUGGGGAAUGCAGAGGGCGACUAAUGUGACCUACCAGGCUCACCAUGUCAGCAGGAACAAGCGUGGUCAGGUGGUGGGGACGAGAGGAGGCUUCCGUGGAUGCACUGUCUGGCUCACAGGUUUGUCUGGGGCUGGGAGAAGACCACGGUGAGCAUGCCCUGG